rnacentral:rRNA from 4 species
GGCGACGAUCUGUAGCGGGUCUGAGAGGAUGAUCCGCCACACUGGGACUGAGACACGGCCCAGACUCCUACGGGAGGCAGCAGUGGGGAAUAUUGGACAAUGGGGGGAACCCUGAUCCAGCCAUGCCGCGUGUGUGAAGAAGGCCUUUUGGUUGUAAAGCACUUUAAGCGAGGAGGAGGCUACCGAGAUUAAUACUCUUGGAUAGUGGACGUUACUCGCAGAAUAAGCACCGGCUAACUCUGUGCCAGCAGCCGCGGUAAUACAGAGGGUGCAAGCGUUAAUCGGAUUUACUGGGCGUAAAGCGCGCGUAGGUGGCCAAUUAAGUCAAAUGUGAAAUCCCCGAGCUUAACUUGGGAAUUGCAUUCGAUACUGGUUGGCUAGAGUAUGGGAGAGGAUGGUAGAAUUCCAGGUGUAGCGGUGA